rnacentral:rRNA from 1 species
GACAGAGGGGGCUAGCGUUGUUCGGAAUGACUGGGCGUAAAGGGCGCGUAGGCGGUUUUUUAAGUUAGACGUGAAAGACCUGGGCUUAACCUGGGAGGUGCGUUUAAUACUGAGGGACUAGAGACCAAGAGAGGAAGAAGGAAUUCCUAGUGUAGAGGUGAAAUUCGUAGAUAUUAGGAGGAACACCAGAGGCGAAGGCGAUUUUCUGGCUUGGCACUGACGCUGAGGCGCGAAAGCGUGGGGAUCAAACAGG